AUUGAACGCUGGCGGCAGGCUUAACACAUGCAAGUCGAGCGGAGAGAGGUAGCUUGCUACCGAUCUUAGCGGCGGACGGGUGAGUAAUGCUUAGGAAUCUGCCUAUUAGUGGGGGUCAACAUUUCGAAAGGAAUGCUAAUACCGCAUACGUCCUACGGGAGAAAGCAGGGGAUCUUCGGACCUUGCGCUAAUAGAUGAGCCUAAGUCGGAUUAGCUAGUUGGUGGGGUAAAGGCCUACCAAGGCGACGAUCUGUAGCGGGUCUGAGAGGAUGAUCCGCCAGACUGGGACUGAGACCCGGCCCAGACUCCUGCGGGAGGCAGCAGUGGGGAAUAUUGGACAAUGGGCGCAAGCCUGAUCCAGCCAUGCCGCGUGUGUGAAGAAGGCCUUAUGGUUGUAAAGCACUUUAAGCGAGGAGGAGGCUACUUUAGUUAAUACCUAGAGAUAGUGGACGUUACUCGCAGAAUAAGCACCGGCUAACUCUGUGCCAGCCGCCGCAGUAAUAC
rnacentral:rRNA from 1 species